rnacentral:rRNA from 1 species
UCCGUAGGCGGUUUGGUAAGUCAGUGGUGAAAGCCCGCAGCUCAACUGUGGAACGGCCAUUGAUACUGCCAGACUUGAAUUACAAGGAAGUAACUAGAAUAUGUAGUGUAGCGGUGAAAUGCUUAGAUAUUACAUGGAAUACCAAUUGCGAAGGCAGGUUACUACUUGUGGAUUGACGCUGAUGGACGAAAGCGUGGGGAGCGAACAGGAUUAGAUACCCCUGUA